UACGUAGGGUGCGAGCGUUAAUCGGAAUUACUGGGCGUAAAGCGUGCGCAGGCGGUUCGUUGUGUCCGUCGUGAAAGCCCCGGGCUUAACCUGGGAACUGCGAUGGAAACUAGCGAGCUGGAGUGUGGCAGAGGGGGGUGGAAUUCCGCGUGUAGCAGUGAAAUGCGUAGAGAUGCGGAGGAACACCGAUGGCGAAGGCAGCCCCCUGGGUCAAGAUUGACGCUCAUGCACGAAAGCGUGGGGAGCAAACAGG
rnacentral:rRNA from 1 species